GCCUUCUCAGGGUUGCACCUGGAGACUUCCCAGUAUUCUACCAGUCUCGACUACAGGAGGGAGAGUCAAGCAGAGGUCUAACCAUUCCAUUCCUAGCUUGGUCAGUGGCUAGUGAGUGGAAGGCAAUGUGCUACAAGU